CUUCCACUACGAUUCUUUCCCCUGGAGACCAGAAAUCAGAGCGUUAACAGUUACUCCGGGCCCGCGGUGUUGGGCAUUAGCGAUGCCUCCCAGGGCGUCCUGAAUUAUUCAGAGAGCAUCUUCGGGCUGUUGAGGGAUUUCCAAACCCCUCCUCCUACCACCACCAACAACCUUUUUCUUUCUAAAGAGACUGGUGAAAGCGUCUGUAAAUGCUUCAAAGGGGACAAAGUCUACAGCAACAUAUGAUGCCAUGACGAAACUCAAAAGGUCCUGGGAAGAGGCAAAACAAUGGACUUGAAGGGGAACUUCUCAUGAGGUGAAAUCUUAGAGGCAUGUGGCGAAAAUCUUCUGAUGUGAACUCGUCAAAAGAUUAAAGUGUUCAAUCUCCCCCUGGCAGGGUGAGACGAGCUGCCAGGAACCCAGAGAAAAGAUGAGGCAACUUGUCCAGAGUUGUCUAGAACUUCACAGCCAGGGGCUGACACUCGCUCUCUGGCCUCUGACUCCUCUCUUCUAACUCAGGGCUGAUACUCAGGGGGCCGAAAUGAUUCAGUCCGUGGGUCGCAGAAGAAGCAGACACGACUCAGCAACCAAACAGUAACAACCACCUAAGAAUGCUUUUGGCAUUUCAUCACAGCACCCAGACAGCAUGUGGCCAGCUUGGACUGAUUAGGUUCAUCCUAGCUUUGGAAGAGGGUUGUCCUCAAGAAAUAAAAACUCAAGACAAAUAAAAACUUAAGGAGGAAUGAAGAUAGCAUGCACCACCUACAACAUUUUUUAAAAGGGAGGCUACAUAUCCUGGUCAACCCUCCGCCUGACGUUCUCAGCUGUCAGUGGCACUUCAGACCCCACUCAUGGCUGCAGCUUUGGGGGCUCAGCCAGAUUCAGGUGAGAAAACGGGGGGUGCACAAGCGGGCAUCACAAUAACUGGGCCCCACAGUGCAGGAGGGUCAUGGUAUCAGGCGGGAGGAUGUGAACGUGCCGAAAUUUGACAAGUGCUGAGUCUCAAAUGCAGCAAUUCUGUACGGCUGGACUGGAGUGUCGGUGCUCAGCAUAGAGAGUGGGUCUCUGGGAAAGUCGUCAUUAAGUGGUCCCCAGAAUCCUCAAAACCCAGAGCAGAAGCGGCCUCAGUGCGCACGGGAAAUGGCUCAGGGAGGUGCAGCUUUUCUGAUAACGUGCCAUGGGGCAGUGUGCAGAAGCAUCCUGCAACCCCAGUGCCGUGAGGACAAAAGAGAACCACCCAACUUUCCAUCAGAGGCGCUGGGGAGAGACGGAGCAGCCUCGGGAGGCCCUCGUCGCAGAGCA
ensembl:lncRNA